rnacentral:rRNA from 1 species
CUGGUCGGUUUAAAGAUCUAACACUUGGCCUGGUCGUUUACAGGCCUACACAUGCAGUCGAGCGGCAGCCAAGUAAGUACUUAUGAGGUGGCGAGCGGCGGACGGGUGAGUAAUGCCUAGGGAUCUGCCCAGUCGAGGGGGAUAACAGUUGGAAACGACUGCUAAUACCGCAUACGCCCUACGUGGGUGAAAGANGGGGACCUUCGGGCCUCUCGCGAUUGGAUGAACCUAGUGGGAUUAGCUAGUUGGUGAGGUAAUGGCUCACCAAGGCGACGAUCCCUAGCUGUUCUGAGAGGAUGAUCAGCCACACUGGGACUGAGACACGGCCCAGACUCCUACGUGGAGGCAGCAGUGGGGAAUAUUGCACAAUGGGGGAAACCCUGAUGCAGCCAUGCCGCGUGUAGUAGAAGAAGGCCUUCGGGUUGUAAAGCACUUUCAGUAGGGAGGAAAGGGUAGAGUCUAUAAUACGGCUCAUACUGUGACGUNAACCUACAGAAGAAGGACCGGCUAACUCCGUGCCAGCAGCCGCGGUAAUACGGAGGGUCCGAGCGUNAAUCGGAAUUACUUGGGCGUAAAGCGUUGCGCCAGCG